rnacentral:rRNA from 1 species
GACGAACGCUGGCGGCGUGCCUAACACAUGCAAGUCGAACGGAAAGGCCUUGUUCUUGUGCGGUCUGCGUGUGGCGAACACGUGAGUAUCACGCGUGGAACCUGUGCCUUUCUUUGGGGUAACUCCAGGAAACUGGGGUUCUUACCCGACAUGAACUCUUUCAGCAUGGUGGGGAUUUGUGAGUUUCGGCGUUUGGGGAUGGACUCGCGGCCCAUCAGCUUGUUGGUGGGGUGGUGGAUUACCAGGGCUUUGACGGGUAGCCGGCCUGAGAGGGUGACAGGCCACAUUGGGACUGAGAUACGGCCCAGACUCCUACGGGAGGCAGCAGUGGGGAAUAUUGCACAAUGGGCGGAGGCCUGAUGCAGCAACGCCGCGUGCGGGAUGACGGCCUUCGGGUUGUAAACCGCUUUCGCCUGUGACGAAGCGUGAGUGACGGUAAUGGGUAAAGAAGCACCGGCUAACUACGUG